rnacentral:tRNA from 1 species
GGUUUAGUUUUUACUAGACCCCGCACUCGAAAUGCGGCGUGGGGGCAACUCCAUCGUGGGUUCGAAUCCCACCCUCUCCGCCA